AUUGAACGCUGGCGGCAUGCCUUACACAUGCAAGUCGAACGGCAGCACGGGUGCUUGCACCUGGUGGCGAGUGGCGAACGGGUGAGUAAUACAUCGGAACAUGUCCUGUAGUGGGGGAUAGCCCGGCGAAAGCCGGAUUAAUACCGCAUACGAUCUACGGAUGAAAGGGGGGGACCUUCGGGCCUCGCGCUAUAGGGUUGGCCGAUGGCUGAUUAGCUAGUUGGGGGGGUAAAGGCCUACCAAGGCGAAGAGCAGUAGCUGGUCUGAGAGGACGACCAGCCACACUGGGACUGAGACACGGCCCAGACUCCUACGGGAGGCAGCAGUGGGGAAUUUUGGACAAUGGGCGAAAGCCUGAUCCAGCAAUGCCGCGUGUGUGAAGAAGGCCUUCGGGUUGUAAAGCACUUUUGUCCGGAAAGAAAUCCUUGGCCCUAAUACGGUCGGGGGAUGACGGUACCGGAAGAAUAAGCACCGGCUAACUACGUG
rnacentral:rRNA from 1 species